ensembl:lncRNA
GGUGAGAGAGAGGGAGAGAGGUGUGGAGGGGUGAGAGAGAGGGAGAGAGAGUGUGGAGGGGUGAGAGAGAGGGAGAGAGAGUGUGGAGGGGUGAGAGAGAUGUGGAGGGGUGAGAGAGAGGGAGAGAGUGUGGAGGGGUGAGAGAGAGGGAGAGAGGUGUGGAGGGGUGAGAGAGAGGGAGAGAGAGAGAAAAAGAAAACGAGAGAGAUAGAGAGGUGUGGAGGGGUGAGAGAGAGGGAGAGAGGUGUGGAGGGGUGAGAGAGAGAUGUGGAGGGGUAAGAGAGAGGUAGAGAGGUGUGGAGGGGUGAGAGAGAGGGAGAGAGGUGUGGAGGGGUGAGAGAGAGGGAGAGGUGUGGAGGGGUGAGAGAGAUAGAGAGGUGUGGAGGGUUGAGAGAGAGGUGUGGAGGGGUGAGAGAGAGGGAGAGAGGUGUGGAGGGGUGAGCGAGAGGGAGAGAGAGUGUGACCCACUUCCGGUGCAGGUGUUUGAUCUUGGUUGACACUGAGCACACAGCAGGAAUGACUAUCAACACACGUAGCUGACUGAGAUGGCCUCCAAAACAGAGCAGCACUCCACAACACUGAGAUCAGACAUCUCUGUCUCUCUCACGCUCUCUUAUUGAUGGAUGUGGCGAUAGAAAUACAUCUCUAUAGCUAGUUGGACUUUGAGGAAAUCUAUGUCCUUUCGGG